rnacentral:rRNA from 1 species
GAAGCCCGAGUAAACGGCGGCCGUAACUAUAACGGUCCUAAGGUAGCGAAAUUCCUUGUCGGUUAAAUACCGACCUGCAUGAAUGGCGUAACGAGAUGGGAGCUGUCUCAACCAGAGAUUCAGUGAAAUUGUAGUGGAGGUGAAAAUUCCUCCUACCCGCGGCAAGACGGAAAGACCCCGUGGACCUUUACUACAACUUAGCACUGCUAAUGGGAAUAUCAUGCGCAGGAUAGGUGGGAGGCUUUGAAGUAAGGGCUUUGGCUCUUAUGGAGUCAA